GGUGUGACAGAUUGGCUAAUGGCUAUAAAAAGUGGCGAUCCUCACACGCUUUGCCUUGUCUCUUCGCUCGCAGGCGUAUACAGCGUCGAACCUGCGAAUCCUUGGCUUCUCCAAUUCCCAGCGUUUACUUGCGAGCUGCUGCAUUCUCUAUUGUGAGAGCGAACGUGGCAAUCAAAGGGAGCGGGAUCGGGAGAGGGCUCAAGCAAGGGCCGGCCACAAGGGCAAGGGUCCAAGGGAUGAUGGCUUGACCCCCGAACAGAGACGCCAGAGGGAUGCUAAGGCAUUGCAAGAAAAAUUAUCAAGGAAAGCAACUCAGGAUGCUGCUGGAGCUGGGAAAGCCAACAAUAAUAAUAAGAACGCCGACAAAAAGUAAAGCACGGACGGACGAUCUGAUCAAAUCAAGGUCCAUUUUAUUUUUCUAGAGAUUGUGUAUGUGUAAUUGUGUAUCAUCAAAUUGUUGAUUCUGCUGUUGUGAUUGACAAACCUUGUUUAUGUUAAGAGCUUUAUUCAAGUCACAUUUAUUUGUUAA